GUGCCUUAAACUAAUGUGUAAGGAAAAUAUAGAGCCUUGGUGACGUUGGGCUCCACUAGCCAAACUAGCACCAAAAAUUUUUUACGAGGUUAAAAAAUAUAAUAAAUAAACUGAGUUAAUGGAUCAACGACGAACUGAAACGGAUGUCUU